AACUACUGGAAACGGUGGCUAAUACCGCAUAACGUCGCAAGACCAAAGAGGGGGACCUUCGGGCCUCUUGCCAUCAGAUGUGCCCAGAUGGGAUUAGCUUGUUGGUGAGGUAACGGCUCACCAAGGCGACGAUCCCUAGCUGGUCUGAGAGGAUGACCAGCCACACUGGAACUGAGACACGGUCCAGACUCCUACGGGAGGCAGCAGUGGGGAAUAUUGCACAAUGGGCGCAAGCCUGAUGCAGCCAUGCCGCGUGUAUGAAGAAGGCCUUCGGGUUGUAAAGUACUU
rnacentral:rRNA from 2 species